rnacentral:rRNA from 1 species
GAUGAACGCUGGCGGCGUGCCUAAUACAUGCAAGUCGAGCGAACAGACGAGGAGCUUGCUCCUCUGACGUUAGCGGCGGACGGGUGAGUAACACGUGGAUAACCUACCUAUAAGACUGGGAUAACUUCGGGAAACCGGAGCUAAUACCGGAUAACAUGUUGAACCGCAUGGUUCAACAGUGAAAGACGGUUUUGCUGUCACUUAUAGCUGGAUCUGGGUCGCAUUAGCUAGUUGGUAAGGUAACGGCUUACCAAGGCAACGAUGCGUAGCCGACCUGAGAGAGUGAUCGGCCACACUGGAACUGAGACACGGUCCAGACUCCUACGGGAGGCAGCAGUAGGGAAUCUGCCGCAAUGGGCGAAAGCCUGACGGAGCAGCGCCGCGUGAGUGAAGAAGGUCUUCGGAUCGUAAUACUCUGUUAUUAGUGAAGAACAAAUGUGUAAGUAACUAUGCACUUCGUGACGGUACCUAAUCAGAAAGCCACGGCUAACUACGUG